UACGGAGGGUGCAAGCGUUGCUCGGAAUUAUUGGGCGUAAAGGGUAGGUAGGUGGUCUCAUUUGUCUGAGGUGAAAUCCUUGAGCUUAGCUCAAGAAGUGCCUUAGAAACGGUGAGACUAGAGUUCUGGAGAGGGUCGUGGAAUUCCCGGUGUAGCGGUGAAAUGCGUAGAGAUCGGGAGGAACACCAGAGGCGAAGGCGGCGACCUGGACAGAUACUGACACUCAACUACGAAAGCGUGGGUAGCAAACAGG
rnacentral:rRNA from 1 species